GUGAAUCAUCAAAUUUUUGAACGAAAAUUGCACUCUCUGGUAUUCCGGAGAGUAUGGAUGUUUGAGGGUAAUUAAAAAGAAUCUUUAACCAAUUUUUUUGGUCAAAGGAUAUGAGUUCUCCGCGUUUAUAGCGGUAACUUGAAUUAAACGGUCAAGUCUCAUUUUAGUCGAGACGCGUAAUAAUAGUAUUUAGCGAAAUCUUUAUUAUGUGACUAUCAAGUUUUGACGUAUACAACUUUGGUUUGGUGGGGAUCAAUACAAAUAUUUUUGAACUUGA
rnacentral:misc_RNA from 1 species